rnacentral:lncRNA from 10 species
GUUUACCAAGAGAUCCUUGAUAAUAGACACAUAGUGACUGACACAUAAUAUGUGCCCAGUAAAUCUUUGUUGAAUAAAGGAGCAAAGGAAGGCCAGAUGGACAAUCACAUGGUGAUGGCUAUCAAAUUUGAGAUUAGUAAAAAUCAAAAGGAAUUCCAAGAAGCCCUUUGUCUCUAACUUUGAGGUGUGACAAGAAGGAAAAGAAUGGGAAAGAAAGAAAGGUGUCAAGAUUAAUCUAUAAAUGGGGCUCUGGCUCAGUCUGCAGUGAUCCUGGAAAGAAAACAGAAAUUGCCCAAAGGAUCACUGAAAUAUUGCUCUCUUCUUUCAGAGAGUGAGACAACACUUUUGGCAAGAAAGGAGUGGAGUUGAAGGAGUGGGAAGAAGUAAGGGGCUUCAUAAAUAUCUCUGAGUAAAUGAAAGGCUAUUUAUGAGAUAUGCUGGAAUGCUUCAUACUCAACGUAAGAAAAUUAAAUGCCUUCGGUUUUCUUCUGAGAGCUGCUCUGCUGUACUGGAAGACAUUGGAAGUGGCUGGCCAACCCAAUGCCAAGGUCCUGGGUGGGGUUGUGAGAUGGAGGAAUUCAUAAAUAACUAUAUUGCGUUUUUCAGAAAUUCAUUGCAGCAGACUGUGUUUGUACCUGAGCAAAUGUGCCAUUUACACAGAACGCAAAAUAUUUUUAAUCGAGUAGAAAGAAUUUUCUAAAUGUGACAAGGCCUCUGUGUUUCAGUAAUAUAGAUCACAAUGCCACGGUGGGGCAGUUCUUCUCUCUGGCCACUAGCAUGCCACUUUCUGCUCUGAGAGGGAAUUGGCUAGGUGGGGCCUUUAGCUUGUAAUACCUCCUUCCAAUUGUGAAUUUAUUCUUUCCCUCCUUGCUGGCAAUUUUUUACUUUUCCAGCUUGGCACAUAGAAUCUUGCAAGUCUCCCUGGAAGGUGACUCAUAUUUAAAUGUGAAUGGGGCAGCUGGCUUCUGUUAUCUUAAAGGGUUACAUUAUGUCAUUGCACGUUUUCAGCUGGGGUAAAAACAAACUGUGCUCUUUCCACACAUCAAUUCCAGUAAUAUAUAUUUCUAUGAGAUCACAGGGACUUAUAAAGUGACUGAAAUUUUUCCAGCUUUAAAAAUUAAGACCAACGUACUGUUUCUUAAUAAUUCAGCAACAGCAACAAAAAAUCCCUCAUUUCCUGUCAUGUUGUUUGAGAAUUAUUUCUAAAAGAAUUAUAAUGAUAAUGAUGAUGAUGAUGGUGAUGAUGAUGCUAGUGACAACAAUAAUGAUGAUAAUAAACAUUAAUGGGCUUUGGCCAUUUACCACACACCAGACAUGGUACCAAGAUCUCUACCUGUAGUCUUCACCUCAACCUAAAGAAAGAGAUAUUCUUAAGACUUAAAGGGUAUAAGGUCAAAGGUUCAUAAAUGGCAAUGGCAAGGUUUGAAAGCAGCCAGUUUUAACUCCAAAGCCUGUAUCAUUAAUCAUUGUGAUAUGCAUUUAUGUACAUAUCCACAUAUCUUGCCAGUAAGUAAUUUUCUAAGAUUUUAGUAAGCAAAUGAAUUGUUCCUCAUGACAUAUUUCCUCUGGGUAGCCUUUCCUGGCCACCCAGGAAAAGGCUGGUGAGAAUGCUAGGUGAGAUGUACUGAAGUUUCCUAAGCAUCAUAUGCACAGACCUCUAUUAAGACAGGCAGCAAACUCCAUGGUGACUACUUGUCCCGACAAUGUACUAAGAGCUCCUUGAGGACACAAAUUUAAUCACCUCUAACAGUACCCACUACCUGGUAGGUAUGCAGUAAAUGUUUGAUCAAAGAAUAAAUAUAUGAA